rnacentral:rRNA from 1 species
AGUGAACGCUGGCGGCGUGCCUAAUACAUGCAAGUCGAACGAAGUGGCGCACGGGUGAGUAAUAUAUAGUUAAUCUGCCCUACACAGAGGAACAACAGUUGGAAACGACUGCUAAUACCUCAUAGUGUAGGAUGAGACUAUAUCGUAUCAGCGAGUCGGUAAGGUAAUGGCUUACCAAGGCUAUGACGCGUAACUGGUCUGAGAGGAUGAUCAGUUAAAUUGGAACAGAGACACGGACCAAACUCCUACGGGAAGCAGCAGCAAGGAAUAUUGCGCAAUGCGGGAAAACCUGACGCAGCAACGCCGCGUGGAGGAUGACAAUUUUCGGAGCGUAAACUCGGUUUAUCAGGAAAGCGGUACCGGAUGAAUAAGCACCGGCUAACUUCGUGCCAGCAGCCGCGGUAAUAC